UGUUACUUUUUAUUGGUAAUGCCUCAUGU
rnacentral:sRNA from 1 species